rnacentral:lncRNA from 1 species
AUAAAGACCACCCUGUAGCUAACACACAUAGGAAGGACUGGAAGCUAUGGCUGUGCUCGUGUCCCAGAGUCUCUCAGUCUGUGGUUGUUCCUCGGGAAGCUCUAAACACACAGUUACAGCAUUAUGUAAAGCCUCUUACUUGAUAAGGUCUUCUGGAAAUACUACACGGUCAAGAGCAGUCUACACACAGCUUUAAGCUUAAAGCCUGUUCCAUCCCGCCACCACCAACAGCUUCUUUAAAAUAUGAAGACUUCGAAGUUAUUUAUCCAAACCAACCUGAUCAUUUCUUAAGAGUGAAUAUACCUUGGAAGACGUGUCCUGCCUUUAGUAGCAUCACAAUGGAUUACAUCCUCUAUAAAGCAGUCUGGGGUGAGAAGAUCGAAUUUGGACACCAUUGAGGAGACUAUUGCAGUCAUCCAAGCUCAAGAUGGUAGAGCUUCAUCCUUGAGAAUAAUCAAUGGGGAUAGAUUUAAGAGACACUUAGAGUCUGCAGCCAGAAUGAGCAGAAAGUUAUGAUUCAGAAGAUCAUCUAAAAUUGAACAGCUGCCACUACUGGCAGUAAGUCUACUGCCAUUUGGUAGAUAACCUUCUUAUCACACAGAAAAAUAUCAGUACAGACAAACAGACCGCAAAGAAAAUGAGACCAUCAGCAAAGAAGAUAAAGAAGUUUGUACAAAGCAACUUUUUGUAAAUGGAUGGCUGUCAGGCAAAAAUAAAUUUCCUGUGGACAAGACUAAGAGCAAGGCAAGAGGAAAAUAAACAUGUU